CGGAGGGACAAACGGCACCUUGGGAAACGGCCAAGAAAGACGAGAACCGCAACAAGAAUCGCUAUGGCAACAUCAUCGCUUACGAUCACACCAGAGUCCGCCUGCAGUUGCUGGACGGAGACCCCCACUCUGACUACAUCAACGCCAACUACAUCGACGGGUACCACAGACCCAGACAUUACAUCGCCACACAAGGGCCCAUGCAGGAGACGGUGAGGGAUUUUUGGAGGAUGGUCUGGCAGGAAAACUCGGCCUCUAUCGUCAUGGUUACUAAUUUGGUAGAGGUGGGCAGGGUGAAGUGCGUGCGCUACUGGCCGGAUGAGACAGAGGUCUACGGAGACAUCAAGGUGACCCUGAUAGAAACUGAACCGCUGGCUGAAUACGUCAUCCGGACAUUCACCGUU